rnacentral:rRNA from 1 species
UACGAAGGGGGCUAGCGUUGUUCGGAAUUACUGGGCGUAAAGCGCGCGCAGGCGGUCUUCCAAGUCAGUGGUGAAAGCCCGGAGCUCAACUCCGGAAUUGCCAUUGAAACUGUUAGACUUGAGGAUGAGAGAGGUGAGUGGAAUUCCCAGUGUAGAGGUGAAAAUUCGUAGAUAUUGGGAAGAACACCGGUGGCGAAGGCGGCAACCUGGUCCUUGACUGACGCUGAGGCGCGAAAGCGUGGGGAGCAAACAGG